rnacentral:tRNA from 1 species
UCCCAAGUGGCUUCGUUGGCAAAGAAUCUGCCUGCAAUGCAGAAGACCCAGGUUCUAUCCCUGGCUUGGGAA